CCUACGGGAGGCAGCAGUGAGGAAUAUUGGUCAAUGGGCGCGAGCCUGAACCAGCCAAGUAGCGUGAAGGAUGACUGCCCUACGGGUUGUAAACUUCUUUUAUCAAGGAAUAAAGUGAGGCACGUGUGCCUUUUUGUAUGUACUUUAUGAAUAAGGAUCGGCUAACUCCGUGCCAGCAGCCGCGGUAAUACGGAGGAUCCGAGCGUUAUCCGGAUUUAUUGGGUUUAAAGGGAGCGUAGAUGGGUUGUUAAGUCAGUUGUGAAAGUUUGCGGCUUAACCGUAAAAUUGCAAUUGAUACUGGCAGCCUUGAGUGCAGUUGAGGUAGGCGGAAUUCGUGGUGUAGCGGUGAAAUGCGUAGAUAUCACGAAGAACCCCGAUGGCGAAGGCAGCUUACUAAACUGCAACUGACAUUGAUGCUCGAAAGUGUGGGUAUCAAACAGGAUUAGAUACCCUGGUAGUC
rnacentral:rRNA from 1 species